rnacentral:lncRNA from 1 species
UCGACGUGAGUAGAGACACGAUGGAUAUCGGUGGGGAGGGCAGAGGACCCUGAUCCCCUUGAACAAGUGUUCUAUUUCUUGUUUCAGAAGAUGAACAGCAGUUUAGGAUCGGGUACAGUAUAAGCCCGUCUCCUUUCGGUUACAGACACUGACCGACCGGUCCCACAUGAUAGCGUUACAUAAAAUGUAAACAUCAGAACAAAAGCGUAUUUCUAACUCCCGUCUUCUGUACGCCUUCGUCAGUUCAUGACAUCUCCCCC